UGGCUGCCAAGAUCUCUCUGCUUAGAAGAAAAACCCUACACCCAACCGAUAUCGUUGACAUCUGCAAACACAUUCCCAAGAACAUUUGGAACCCACUUUUGGCUGGGUCCCUGCAUGCUAAGUACAUAACCCUAAUUGGCACAGCACACAGUCCUGUUGUUACUCCAGGCGGUUUUGGCUUAAGGCAGCGAGCGAGUACAAGGCUCUGUGGAAGGGGAGCAAACUAAGUGGCUAAUACCAAAUUAAUGUGUGUAGUUUACAGUGAGUAACGGCAGCUGGGUAGGAGGUAAGUGGGAGGCACAAUCUCAGAGGCCUCAACCCAGCUCAAAGACCAGCAGGCAACUAAGGAAAGCGGAGAGCGAGAAAAACAGUCUUCCCCAGGGAAAACACACAACUGGUUGCCCAAUACCAGAUGGUUAACCCUGAAAGCAUACAUACAAGUCAGUACUAGAUAGACUGAGCAGGCUAUAUUUAGGAAUAUACAUGCGAUAACAACUAAUGAAAAAAGAAGACAUGGGUUUGAAAGAGUAAGGAAGGGUAUACUGUAGGGCUUGGAGGAAGGAAAGGGAAAGAAGAAAUAUAAUCUCAAAAAUUAAAAAAAAAAAAA
rnacentral:lncRNA from 1 species